rnacentral:rRNA from 1 species
GAUGAACGCUGGCGGCGUGCUUAACACAUGCAAGUCGAACGAUGAAGCCCAGCUUGCUGGGUGGAUUAGUGGCGAACGGGUGAGUAACACGUGAGUAACCUGCCCUUAACUCUGGGAUAAGCCUGGGAAACUGGGUCUAAUACCGGAUAGGAGCGUCCACCGCAUGGUGGGUGUUUGAAAGAUUUAUCGGUUUUGGAUGGACUCGCGGCCUAUCAGCUUGUUGGUGAGGUAAUGGCUCACCAAGGCGACGACGGGUAGCCGGCCUGAGAGGGUGACCGGCCACACUGGGACUGAGACACGGCCCAGACUCCUACGGGAGGCAGCAGUGGGGAAUAUUGCACAAUGGGCGCAAGCCUGAUGCAGCGACGCCGCGUGAGGGAUGACGGCCUUCGGGUUGUAAACCUCUUUCAGUAGGGAAGAAGCGAAAGUGACGGUACCUGCAGAAGAAGCACCGGCUAACUACGUG